AGGGUAUAUAAGUAGAAGCAAGACCUCUCCACAUCUAUAACUCAGAAGGAAGAAGAACAGUGACAAAUUAUAAAAACCAAUACCACUGAAAAGAUGUCCAAGCUCAUUCUGAUGAUUUUCACCUUGGUCAUCCUGGCCACCAUCUUAAGCAACCACUCAGUACAAUCACAGAGACCGAAGCAGCAGACCAUAACAGGGAAUCGUUGCAUAUGCACAUUCCACAGAAACAACAUUGUAAAUUUAAAGACACCAUAUCCUAAAGCUAAUGGACAAUAUACAUGCAAAAAGCAGGACAAUGGUGCCAAGCCCAAGACGUCACCUACAAACAAGAGCAGUGGCAACAGUUUGGACAGCUAUCCCAUGCCUUUUUAAACUGCUCUAAUCCAAUUUCAGAAGAGUAUAUUCAGGACAAAACAAAAACUUCCUCUACAUUUCUCAUUUGUCUGGCUGCUUGCUGUGUAACAUUCAACUUAACCCAUUUGAGCUAUAUUUCUUGAUCUUUAGCGUGAUAUAUAUAUAAUCAAUUAAUUAUCUAGAUGCUGUAAUUUUCCUAUAUUUAGCAAUUUAUUGGUUGCUGGUUCUUUUGUCUAUGUCUUUUAUAUAAAAUAGCUUUACAUAUAUUGUUAUGGUUUUACAUUUUUACACAAUAACAAUGACAAAGACAUACAUCUGUUGUGCUAUCAUUUUCAAAUGUUUUGAUUAAAUGUAUGAUAAAUGCCAAA